UGGUGCUGGCGCCGCUCCAGCUACGCCAGGUUCCGGGGUCGCGCGGACGGGAGCUGACAGGGGUCAAUUCAAGUCAUGCAGGUGGUUCGAAAGACGGGGUCUUGGUUCUUGAGGUCUUGGGCUCGGUCACAGACUCCCGGGGUCGUGGCUGGGGCGCCAGCCUCCACCAUCCGCACCGGCGCCCGGCAGCUACAAGAUGCGGCGGCCAAGCAGGAAGUUGAGGAGAAGGCGGCCGCUCCGGCUCCGAGCCGCAGCAGCUUCAGCAUUUAUCCUCCAGUUCCAGGACAGGAGAGCCCUCUGAGGUGGGCGGGAAAGAAAUUCGAGGAGAUCCCGAUCGCACACAUUAAAGCAUCCUACAACAACACGCAGAUCCAGGUGGUCUCUGCCGCCCACCAGCCCCUCGCCCGCGCGUCCUGUGGCACCGAGGGAUUCCGGAAUGCCAAGAAGGGCACCGGCAUCGCCGCACAAACAGCAGGCAUAGCUGCGGCCGCGAAAGCUGCCGGGAAGGGCGUGACCCACAUCCGAGUGGUCGUGAAAGGCCUGGGGCCAGGGCGCUUGAGACCCAGUGUUUUCCCUUUUUCCAGCUGAGGUCAUCACCUGACACUGACAUGUACCGUCACCGCCGAAAUAAGCCUGCUUCACGCUAGAGCACCUGGACGCAGGUUGGGCACCGGGGGAACAGAAAUGCCGUGACCGUCCUGCAUGAAGCUCACAGUCUGGGGGAAGCUAGACAGACACGGGGCCAAAUCAGAAAGAAGUUCCAGAAAAGAGGCAUGAAUGGCCUCGGUGUUUGAGUGUAAGAAUGGCCCCCUCAGUUUCAGGGACGGAAGGGAGGGCUUUAUGGGGGAGAUGGCAAGCAAGAGAAGCCACCGGACCGGACUGUGUCCUUAGGAUGGUAAGCUGGCAAGGCAACACAGCCCAGGUGGAGGGGUCAGAGAUCAUCGGGUUACUGGGUGUAGCUUGGUUGGCAUGGAGGGGGUAGUCCCGGGGUUCAGACCGGAAAGGAGGACAAACGGAGGGAGAAGCUUACAGAAGGAGUCAAACACCUUGUGGCUACACCAAGAAUACAGAGUAGGUUCGGCAGAUGCGGAGAAGGGAAGGUGGAUGUGGAGAAGGCAGGAGACAAGAAGGAACUCCAACAUUAGGUACUUUAACGCUCGCUGUUUACAGGUGAUGAAAUUGGGUAGGUAGGCAUCGUCUAAGAUCAACUGGAAAUAAGAAUCCCAGAGGUAUAAGGCAGGAAACUAUGAGCUGCAGACAGAGUUGUCCUUCUUAAUGCUGAAGCCACAAAGGGAAGUCGGAAGGGGACAGAGAAGAAGGCUGUGAGAGCAAAGGUCCCUAAACGAAGCUCAGUGGCCCAGAGAAGAGGAAGAGCAACCCCCUCCUGUGGCCACCGCUGUGUGUGUGAGGUGCAGGGUUGGGGGAGCGGAGCUCUGGGGGCCAGGGAGGAAAGGG